UUGAUUGUUAAAACAUAACCCAGAAGGGUUAACAGUCGCCAGAAAUAAAUGCUGUUAUGAUUGCAUGCACUGAUUGAUAAGCAUAUGUGCAUAUUUCGAGAGGAGCUAAUAAUGAAGGGGGUAACUCAGUAUCUUCCAUUCAACUUUGUUGAGGAAAGUUAUAUAUAAAAAAUUAUCACAUGCAAAGAAAGUCAUUUUGAUUUGAAGAUUUUGAAGGGCAACAAUUUAAAAGCAAUAUUAUGUUUAAUAAGUACAAAAUACCGUAUCAAACAUGCUGGGAAUAAUAUUUCCAAAAAAAAGGAACACAUUUAUUUUCAAAGUCUUAAUUUAUUAAGUUAUAAAUGUAAAUUCUGUAUAAAAAAAUAUUGAUAACUCUUUCUAACAUAUCAGUUUUUAUGUCCCCCACUAUAGUAGUGGGAGACAUAUUGUUUUUGCCCUGUCUGUUGGUUGUUCUGUUGGUCUGUUGGUUGGUUGGUUGGUUUGCGCCAACUUUAACAUUUGCAAUAACUUUUGCAAUAUUGAAGAUAGCAACUUGAUAUUUGGCAUGCAUAUGUAUCUCAUGGAGGUGCACAUUUUGAGUGGUGAAAGGUCAAGGUCAAAUAUAUGGGUCAAAAUGGCUCAUUUAAUAUACACUUUUGCAGUAUUUCAAUAUUCAAGAUAGCAACUUGAUAUUUGGCAUGCAUGUGUAUCUCAUGGAGCUGCACAUUUUGAGUGGUGAAAGGUCAAGGUCAUCCUUCAAGGUCAAAUAUAUGGGUCAAAAUUGCUCAUGUAAUGUCACUUCUGCAAUAUUGAAGCUAGCAAUUUUAUAUUUGAAAUGCAUGUGUAUCUCAUGGAGCUGCACAUUUUGAGUGGUGAAGGGUCAAGAUCAAGGUCAUCCUUCAAGGUCAAACGUCAUAUAGGGGGACAUUGUGUUUCUCAAACACAUCUUGUUGUUUUUUUAUUAUUCUUUAUUUAUUUAUUGUUGGUGCAUUCAGCUUUUUUCUUGGUCAUAACUAUCGCAUGUCCUUUCUAGAUAAAUGUAUCUAGGAAUAGAAAGCUUGUUGUUAUACCAUUUCCUCAGAGAGUACUCCUGAAUCUUGCCAUAUACUAGAACCUAAAUGAUUAUUUAUGAUUAAUCUAGAACCUAAAUGAUUAUUUAUGAUGCAUCAUUUGCAUGUAUAAGCUGAACAUCAAUACAUUUAUAUUGCAAACUCUUGUACAUAGGUGUGUAUAUAUCAUAGGUGUGUAUAUAUUUAUAUAUACAUGUAUUUAUACUUUUAUAACAUAGCAUUGGUUUUAAUUUAUUAUUGAUGCUAAUAAAUAUGUACAUGAA